rnacentral:rRNA from 1 species
GGCCGCGGGAAUUCGAUUCAGGCCUAACACAUGCAAGUCGAGGGGUAGUCCCGAUUUAUCGGGAUGAGACCGGCGCACGGGUGCGUAACGCGUAUGCAAUCUACCUUAUACUAAGGGAUAGCCCAGAGAAAUUUGGAUUAAUACCUUAUAGUUAAUAAAAUUGGCAUCAAUUUUAUUAUAAAGAUUAAUUGGUAUAAGAUGAGCAUGCGUCCCAUUAGUUAGUUGGUAAGGUAACGGCUUACCAAGACGAUGAUGGGUAGGGGUCCUGAGAGGGAGAUCCCCCACACUGGUACUGAGACACGGACCAGACUCCUACGGGAGGCAGCAGUGAGGAAUAUUGGUCAGUGGGCGCAAGCCUGAACCGGCCAUGCCGCGUGCAGGAUGACGCAUCUAUGGUGUAAAGCUGCUUUUGUACGGGAAGAAAAAAAGCUACGUGAGCUUACUGACGGUACCG